UCUUCGCCGGCAUAUUCUGGAGCACUUGCCUCAUGCUUCAGGUUGGACGAACAAGUUCUGACUUGAAACUCAUUCUUUGCCUGAGAGUGUGGGCGGUCCAAGUUGGUUACGCAGUUGGAGUGGCGCGGGGGCUUUGGGGAGUUGGUUUCUUGAUUAUACACAUCUUCGAGAAGAUGAUUUUUCGUUGGAAUUCCAUGCUUUAAUUUAUUUAUUGCUGCUGUUGGUGGUGUUGGUAUAGAGGAUGCUGCUGUUGCUGCUGCUGUUGCGGCUGCUGGUAUGGUGUUUAUUGCACAUCUGCACCCGAGUUGGCUACAUGGAUGGCAUACAAAUUGUUGAGGAAAGUUUAUUUUCGUUUUGUGCUCCAUGCUGUUGUUGAUUUCCUUUCGCAUUCGGGGGAAUUCAAUUUUUCAAAAACACAGAAGAACAACCAAGACAAAUAAUUCUAAAUUUUAUGAUGAAAUUUUGAUGAAGGCUGUGUUGUGGCCAAUGUGAUGUGGGACGGGGUACGUUUCGUUUAAUGUGAGAUUUAUCGUUUUGUCGUGAUACUGCGUUAAAUUGCGAACAAUUAAUUGCCAUAAUAAUGGCAGCAAACAGACACACAUACACAUGGCCCAAGUGGGGCUACCCAUCAUCCCACACAAACACCUCACACGCAACUGUAGGAGCAGCCAAACAAGGCGGCUAUCUGAUACAUGCACAAAUAUCUACAAUACAAUACAAUACAAAGGCACUAUCAUGCAAAUUGAAUAUUGUGGGGAGGUGAGUAAAUAAAGCAAAUUAUGAUGCGCCAUUGGGGAGAGAGAGA
rnacentral:sRNA from 1 species